rnacentral:tRNA from 1 species
GGGUAUAGCUCAGUGGUAGAGCACAUGUCUAGCAUGCAGGAGGUUCUGGGUUCAAUCCUCAAUAACUCCA